rnacentral:tRNA from 1 species
AGGGCUAUAGCUCAGCGGUAGAGCACCUCGUUUACAUACGGUUCAAAUCCGUAUAGCCCUA